rnacentral:rRNA from 1 species
ACGACCGGCGCACGGGUGAGUAACGCGUAUACAAUUUGCCUUUUACAGAAGAAUAGCCCAGAGAAAUUUGGAUUAAUGCUUCAUAGUAUUAUUUGGUCACCUGGCCGAGUAAUUAAAGCUCCGGCGGUAAAAGAUGAGUAUGCGUCCUAUUAGCUAGAUGGUAAGGUAACGGCUUACCAUGGCGACGAUAGGUAGGGGUCCUGAGAGGGAGAUCCCCCACACUGGUACUGAGACACGGACCAG